AACGAACGCUGGCGGCAUGCCUAACACAUGCAAGUCGAACGAGACCUUCGGGUCUAGUGGCGCACGGGUGCGUAACGCGUGGGAACCUGCCCUUAGGUUCGGAAUAACUCCCCGAAUGGGGUGCUAAUACCGGCUAAUGUCUUCGGACCAAAGAUUUAUCGCCUUUGGAUGGGCCCGCGUUGGAUUAGCUAGUUGGUAGGGUAAAAGCCUACCAAGGCGACGAUCCAUAGCUGGUCUGAGAGGAUGAGCCGCCACACUGGGACUGAGACACGGCCCAGAAUCCUGCGGGAGGGAGCAGUGGGGAAUAUUGGACAAUGGGGGAAAGGCUGAUCCAGCAAUGCCGCGUGAGUGAUGAAGGCCUUAGGGUUGUAAAGCUCUUUUACCCGGGAUGAUAAUGACAGUACCGGGAGAAUAAGCUCCGGCUAACUCCGUG
rnacentral:rRNA from 1 species